AGAGUUUGAUCCUGGCUCAGAGCGAACGCUGGCGGCAGGCUUAACACAUGCAAGUCGAGCGGGCGUAGCAAUACGUCAGCGGCAGACGGGUGAGUAACGCGUGGGAACGUACCUUUUGGUUCGGAACAACACAGGGAACCUUGUGCUAAUACCGGAUAAGCCCUUACGGGGAAAGAUUUAUCGCCGAAAGAUCGGCCCGCGUCUGAUUAGCUAGUUGGUGAGGUAACGGCUCACCAAGGCGACGAUCAGUAGCUGGUCUGAGAGGAUGAUCAGCCACAUUGGGACUGAGACACGGCCCAAACUCCUACGGGAGGCAGCAGUGGGGAAUAUUGGACAAUGGGCGCAAGCCUGAUCCAGCCAUGCCGCGUGAGUGAUGAAGGCCCUAGGGUUGUAAAGCUCUUUUGUGCGGGAAGAUAAUGACGGUACCGCAAGAAUGAGCCCCGGCUAACUUCGUGCCAGCAGCCGCGGUAAUACGAAGGGGGCUAGCGUUGCUCGGAAUCACUGGGCGUAAAGGGUGCGUAGGCGGGUCUUUAAGUCAGAGGUGAAAUCCUGGAGCUCAACUCCAGAACUGCCUUUGAUACUGAGGAUCUUGAGUUCGGGAGAGGUGAGUGGAACUGCGAGUGUAGAGGUGAAAUUCGUAGAUAUUCGCAAGAACACCAGUGGCGAAGGCGGCUCACUGGCCCGAUACUGACGCUGAGGCACGAAAGCGUGGGGAGCAAACAGGAUUAGAUACCCUGGUAGUCC
rnacentral:rRNA from 1 species